UUUUUUCUGUAUUUUUUUGAUAGAGUUCAUAUGUAAGAAAGGGGAAGUCACAACUGUAGUGGUGAUGUGGAAUGCUGGUCAAAAAUUUCCUUGGGCAGUUUCAACAGGUGAAACAUCAUGUCAGAAAUAGUCAGCUAGGCAGUAAAACUGAGGAAGGAAAACCAGGAAGAUUGUCAGAAAUGUGUUCCUGGCUGAGUGACAGAGACCCACUGCAACAAGCAUGCAAACGUGCAUAAUCAGUUGUGUGAGCAGUGUUGCUGAAAUUAAGGGAAGGAAAGAUGUAAAAAGGAAGGAUAUUACUACAAGUAUUAUUUUUCAGGUUUUCAACCUUCAAUCUGUGGAAUAGUUUGGCUUUUACUGCUCAGCUUUACAAAACACUUCAAAAAGUAUUGAUGUAACAGAGGAAGGAAUAUGAGUAAUUGAGCAAUAUAGGCUCUUAGAUCUCACAUUUCUAUGACUCAUAAAAUUCAGGCUAUGAAAAGUAGGACAAGCUUUAAUGCAAGGAAUAACACAAACAUUAAUGUCAGUUUAUUUUUUUCCAUCAAUAACUUUGAAUCACAAAAGGUUUCCCCAUUUUUUCUCUAUUUUAAGGAGGAAAAGAAUUCACAGCUCCAUCUUCACUGCUCUGCUUAGCGAAGACCAAGGACAAACAAACGGCAGGAAAACCUGGAGAGUGUUUUGCUGCAGAUUGGGAGCAGCCACUAGGAGGGGCUGACUGCCUUGUAGAGAAGAACUUAUCGGUUAUGAAAGAUGACAGAGUGAUGAUUCUGACCUCUUAUUCAGAGGUAUUUUGGAAAAGAUUGCAUAUUUCAACCAGAGAUCAAGGACCAUGAAAAAAGAUCAGAGUUCCAAUAUGGCCAUGCUCUUGAAAGGGAAGCACCAAAUGCACAGCUCAUUUAUCAAGGCAAAAGUGUUUAACUAUGACCUUAAGCACAUGCUGCUGCUUGUUAGUUUAACUGAAGCUACACAAACAUGAUAAAAGGGAUCACAGCAGACGGUGGCAGAAAGGAUCAAGGUCAGGGAUAGUGAAG